rnacentral:tRNA from 1 species
UACAACAUACGCUCAGUUGGUUAGAGCACAUCACUCAUAAUGAUGGGGUCACAGGUUCGAAUCCCGUCGUAGCCACCA